UACGUAGGGCGCAAGCGUUGUUCGGAUUUACUGGGCGUAAAGGGUGCGUAGGCGGCAUAUUAAGUCAUCUGUGAAAUCUCCGAGCUUAACUCGGAACUGUCAGCUGAUACUGAUGUGCUAGAGUGCGGAAGGGGCAAUCGGAAUUCUUGGUGUAGCGGUGAAAUGCGUAGAUAUCAAGAGGAACACCUGAGGUGAAGACGGGUUGCUGGGCCGACACUGACGCUGAGUGCGCGAAAGCCAGGGGAGCAAACAGG
rnacentral:rRNA from 1 species